UGCAGGCCCGAGGCCUGAGGAGACCGCCGCACAGGCACCUCUGCCCCUACGCCAGGGGCGGCUCCGGGCACCUCCAUCAGCCCCACCCUGGCUCACUUCCAGCACAGCCUGUGGGGAGAGGAUGCAGCCUCCCAUCUCCUGUCACCCUGAAAUGCGGGCCUCCAGAGAUGGGCAGUGUCCACUAUUGCUGUCACAGAAGUGGCAUCAGUGGGGUCUCUAGCAAAACCUCUUCUGAAUGAGCUCCAGAAGAUGAAAAGAAAUGAGAAAGAAAGAAAGAAAUCAACAAACAAAAUCCCAGCCCAGAAGGAAGAGUGCAGUUCCGUGGACCAAUCGGGUGCUCACUGCUAUCUAUGGGAUGGCUGCUGGUGCCGCAGGAGCUGGGGAUACAGUCCUGGACAGACCAGACAUUGUCCCGACAUUGCGGUGCUUAUGGCAACUGGCAUGGAGCUGGACUUGAAGCAUGAGGGCUUCAUGGAAAGAAACACAUCUGGGGGCAGCAGUUUGGGAAGUGGGGGCCACCUAGACCUCACCCCUUUAUAUACCUACUCUACUCGGUGAAGUGAAGAGUUUGAGAACCAGAGCACCGUCCAGUCACACUGCCUGGCGUUCACAGUAGACCCAGAGCCUUCAAAAAAUUAGAUGGAGACAAAAUGGAAGGCAUGAGAGUGAAAGAACUAAAGUCAUAAGAGAGCCUGCAAUCUGCUCCUUGACCCAAAUGAUAACUCAGGCCCACUGAGCACUCCCUCUGGGCCAGGCACAGUGCUAAGACCUUUGCAUACUUUAUCUCACUUGGUCCUCACAACAGCUCCACUUGACAAAUGAAAAACUGAGGCUCAGAGAGGUCACCUUGAGCAAGAUCAGGCUUCAAGUAAGUGGCAGAGCUGGGACUCGGUGCCACAGGUGUGUGAUGGUGGACACCAAACAGACAGUGUACACUCUACUGCCCUGGCCGCAAAAGACUUUCCUGUAGACUGCUUUCACGCAGAGUGGUGGCAUGGGAGAAGUAGGGACAGGGCAGGGGGCAGCCCCCAGGCUGGUAGCUGGGGUUCUGUCUGCAAGGCUGCCUUAGCAUGCACGGCCCCAGCCACAAGGCAAGCAGAAGGAAGGAGAGCCACUGAAACAGAAAAGCUUUGCAACUCGCUGGGCUCCGAGUUAACGAGAAGCUUGGGAAGCCUCUCUAAACGUUCCUAGUGAUGUCCCUGCGGGAGCUAGUUCAUGUAUUUUAAGAAAGAAAAAAAGAAAUCAUUAGGGAGUUAGGACCACGGAGAGGCCAUAAAUGUAAAAUAUUGGUGGUUCGACAGUGCACCCCUAUCAGCCGCAAGCAGAGUUCAUCUUGACAAGCCAGAACCCUGUCCAAGAAAUAAAUCAUUUUGUUUUCCUCAGAUGGCUCGCUGUGAAUCUUCCCAGGGUGUCUGCUCCAAAUUUUAACUUACCCACCUUGCUUGGGACUGAGGAAGACUGGCUGCCCUGAGCCAGGACAGAAUAUAGUGUUAGCGGGAUUAUGGUGGAAACUGGGCCCCGGGUGGAAGCCUCAGCCACCUCUGGACUGGGGCAUCCCAGAGACCCCAGCUCUCCGGACUAUCCCCAAGCCCCCCGUCACUUUGGUGGCCAGCACCCAUAGUUGCACACCAAAGGCACUUCACCUACUGGGCAUUCCGGGGAAGGGACGUCUGCUCCUUUGGCACCUUUUAGGUUCUUUGUGGGUGCUCGUUGGUGGCAGUAACAAAUAAAUUCUCUGGGCCCUGAGCAGGACCACCUCUGUCCCUCGGUCUGAUUGGUGUCGUGUUCCCCCUUUGUCCC